CUCAGAAUUAUUUACAGGUGUGUCAGGAGAAUAUUCCAGAGGCUUGAGUUUCAUGGUGGUGAGUACAAGAAAAAGCAUCAGGAAUUGGCAUUAUAAACUGAGCACACACAGCUUGGCCAAUGAAUGGUUCUUGUUCACAGAGACGGACUGUAAGAAAAGAGGAAGAGGAAAGGAUUUGGCUUAAAGGAUGAGCUAAUCAUCCAUGAGACUGGAGAAGUUUAUAAACUCAUCCCUGAAAGAAAAUUCUUCUGCUGUGAUGCCUCAUUUAAUUUCAUUUUUGUGUUCUGGCCUUGCAACAGAAACAUGAGUCCAUGGGUGACCUUGAAGUGAAACACCAAGAAACUGCAAACAGACAUCUGUAACCAAAGGUACUCUAGGGUCAAUACUCCCGUUCACGGACCAAGUAACUGUCUUGGGCCAUGCCAGUCUGACACUUCAAGCAAACCAGAUAAGCCACCAGUGUCAAGG